rnacentral:rRNA from 1 species
UACGUAGGGGGCAAGCGUUGUCCGGAUUUAUUGGGCGUAAAGAGCGUGUAGGCGGUCCGGUAAGUCCGCUGUGAAAGUCGGGGGCUCAACCCUGGAAGGCCGGUGGAAACUGUCGGGCUAGAGUCCGGAAGAGGCGAGUGGAAUUCCCGGUGUAGCGGUGAAAUGCGCAGAUAUCGGGAGGAACACCAAUGGCGAAGGCAGCUCGCUGGGACGGUACUGACGCUGAGACGCGAAAGCGUGGGGGAGCAAACAGGG